GCCUAAUGGCAGCUGUCGGCCGGAAGUCUCGCAUCGCUUCCGAACCGGCAUCGACUGAUGCGCCACUCCGUCCCCUAAGCUUUGCGGGGCCGGAACAUUGAUGAAGCUACUUUUUACAUGCGCCUGUCCUUCUGUGCAUGUAAGAGGGAAUUCUAAAGAAUGACUGUGAUGGGAGAACUUGCGAUGAAUGGGUUUUCGGACAGGGGUUCGAUUCCCCUCAGCUCCACUC
rnacentral:tmRNA from 1 species